rnacentral:lncRNA from 1 species
UUCGGAACCGAGUGCGGUGGGCUAGGACUAUACGUUUGCAAGUGUAAGAAAUAAGCGAGAAGACCAGACAGAGCAAACAAUAAAAGGCUUUUUGUUGAGAACUGUAUAAAUGUAAGGGAAUACUAAAUCCCCUAUUUUGAAUGACAGUAUCAUGGACUUUAUUACAUAUGUAAUUUUAUUCUGAUUAUGAAAGCAUCAGUAAUUUCACUAUUGAGGAAUAACCACAAUGUUUGUGAAUAUUUCCUUUGCUUCUAAAUAUGCGGUCUUUUUAAAUCAUGUAUUUUAUCUCAUUUGUAUAUAUAGUUUUUCGCUGUGUAAAUUUCCUUCCUUUUUGCAAAAUUCUACGUCACAAAUUGAACUUUAACAAGGCAAUUAGAUGUCUAGGGAAGUACUGAUGCACGAGAAAGCAUAUUGCAGCAUUGGUUAAUAAAACAAAAAAAUAGAAACCUAAGAUUUAACAAAGGGAAAUUGUUAACUAGUGGUGUAAACACUCAACACAGACAUGUCUUCAUACAGCAAACAUUUGUUGAGUACAAUGCUGAAUGAAACACAUUGAGAAACACUCUAUAGUGGGGAAGUAGCAAAUAUUUCAAUUCAGUGAGCAAUUGCUAAUGAAUGGAAAAUAUGACACAUAGAAUCUAUCUUCUCUCAGGGAGUUUGUAAUCUGUUAGUGAAGCAGGAAAGAAUAAUCAAGCAAUACUUUUUUGUUUGGACCAAAAGGGUGAGAAUAGACUAUAAACUCAUUUCAGGUUUUGUUUACUCUAGAACGUAAUCAUUUUUCUUCUCACAUACCAUGUUGAUUUUAAUCUAAUCUCUUUAAAAUAUAUCGCCCUGAUUUCCAUCUUUCCUAGGAAAGAGGCGUCCCAUUUUGCGAAAGGACGUGAGUGUAUCUUGUCCUCCAUGUAAUGAAAGGGAGGGAUUACUCGCUAGGCUACAUUCUGGGAAUGGUGAAACAGAGACAGUGGUAAGUCAAGGAAUUUGUCCAAGGGCAAACUGCAUGCCUGUGGCAGAGCUUAGAAUAAUAUCCAGACCUAGGUUCCAACCCACUGUUAGAUUUUUUUUAACUUUGGAAUUUAUUUUGCAUAGAGUAUUAAGGGCUAGGAAGAUAAAAUAGGUUAUAGUGAUAGGGUACUUCGUGUACGUCUUUCCUCACUUCAGAUGACUGGGUUUUUUAACCCAGAUUAUUUAGACUAUAUACAUAUUUAUUUAGCUGUACUGGAGUAGACUGACAUAUAUACGUGGUGAUGGAUCCCCAAGACAGAUCUUGUAACUGUGGCAGGAGGAUUGUGGAUAGGAUGGUGUCUACCGACUAUUCCCAAUGCCAGUAAUCUAAUUGGUUGGUCACCCAGAUUUUGCUCAACUCUGAUAAUUGUCAGAUGCAUUCCAACUAGAACUACUCUAUCUUAAAUGGGGCUGGGUAAGAUGAGGCUGAGACCUAUUGGGCUGUAUUCCCAGAUAGUUAAGGCAUUCUAAGUCACAGGAUGAGAUAGGAGGUCAGCACAAGAUACAGGUCAUGAAGUCCUUGCUGAUAAAACAGGUUGCAGUAAAGAAGCCAGCUAAAACCCACCAAAACCAAGAUGGUGACAAGAGUGACCUCUGGUCAUCCUCACUGCUACACUCCCACCAGCACCAUGACAGUUUAUAAAUGCCAUGGCAACAUCAGGAAGUUACCCUGUGUGGUCUAAAAAUGGUAGACAUGAAUAAUCCACCCCUUGUUUAGCAUAUAAUCAAGAAAUAACCAUAAAAAUGGGCAACCAGCAGCCCUUGGGGCUGCUCUGCCUAAGGAGUAGCCAUUGUUUUAUUCCUUUACUUUCCUAAUAAACUUACUUUCACUUUA